GCAUCUGAAUCCCAGCUUUGGUGUAGAUAAAGCCUCCAACUCAGAAAUUCAGCAGCAACCUCUGUAUUUUUCCUCUGAACACUACGUAAUAAGCUGCCAGUUUGCCUCCAGGUGACUGCAAAUUCUUCCUGGUGCAGAAGGCUCACAAAAUAUUCGGUGUAUGCCGUGAUUUAGAAGAUGACAGAACUGUGGAAAAACCUUACUGUAGGAUGCUAUGAGAGCAGCCCUCCGCAGUUCUCAGAAGUGGAGUACUCCUACCUGCUGUUCUUCCUGUGGCAGAAAAAAAACAGUUUUCAAUGAAUGUGAACCAGCUGGUCCUUGGGACAGCUUUUCCCAGCAGUAAAAAGCUGUGGAAAUGCCAGCCUCAGCUCUAGCUUCUAUCAGCAGGAACACUGAAAGGCACACAGGCUACAGCUUUCUUAUCUCCUGCUUCAUCAGCCCUGCUGCAGUUCCUCCCAGUGCCAUGGCUUUCUGCGGUUGCUGCUCACGUUUCCCUCAGGAUCUGUCAUCCGCCUCAGAUUCUUACAUCAGAAGGUGAAUUGGAGAUGAGUUUACAUGUUCAUGCGGUGAUUCUCAUUUCAAGAA